AAUGAACGCUGGCGGCAGGCUUAACACAUGCAAGUCGAGCGCCCCGCAAGGGGAGCGGCAGACGGGUGAGUAACGCGUGGGAAUCUACCCAUCUCUACGGAAUAACGCAUGGAAACGUGUGCUAAUACCGUAUACGUCCUUCGGGAGAAAGAUUUAUCGGAGAUGGAUGAGCCCGCGUUGGAUUAGCUAGUUGGUGGGGUAAAGGCCUACCAAGGCGACGAUCCAUAGCUGGUCUGAGAGGAUGAUCAGCCACACUGGGACUGUGACACGGGCCAGCCUCCGACGGGAGGCAGCAGUGGGGAAUAUUGGACAAUGGGCGCAAGCCUGAUCCAGCCAUGCCGCGUGAGUGAUGAAGGCCCUAGGGUUGUAAAGCUCUUUCACCGGUGAAGAUAAUGACGGUAACCGGAGAAGAAGCCCCGGCUAACUUCGUGCCAGCCGCCGCAGUAAGAC
rnacentral:rRNA from 1 species